CGUUCCUAAGAUUGCUGUUGGCAGGGGAAGCCUCAGAUGCAGCAGGCUUACCACGGAGAAAGACACGACUGAUUUCUUUUGAGCUCUCUGGGCCAUUUUGAAGAAAAAACUGUGUACUUCUGCAUGCCAACCCUAAGCUACAUAAUAGUGCGAGUACACAGGCCCCUUUGGCCAACAGCUCCUCAACCACCACCUUCAAGCCAUUUCGUGCAGCAACGUGGAGAGGUCUGAAAGAAGACAGCAGCCAACGUCAACUGGGAUACAGAUUUGUGUGAGAACGUGUCAUUGUGGGGAGCUGCAUUGCCAAAAGGAAGAAAAUGCUUAAGAAAAUACUUAAUAAAUAUAAUAUAUAUAAAUAUAAAGUAUAUUUAUAUAUAAAUAUAAAAUAAAUACUUAAGAAAAUACGCGCAUAUUACUUUUUUAAAAUAAAAAUAUUUGUCGACCAGA